CCUGCCGACAGGGGGCAGUAUACCGGUCAUCUGACAGGAAGGAGCAGACAAGCUGCCAAUCACAGGAGGCCAACACGGGGCGCUCUGCUCGAGGGAAAGGGAAGCUUUACUGCCGCCAUUUCACGUGAAAGCAGCACCGUUAGACCGACUAACGUAGACAGACAAGUAUUUAAAAAGAAUUAGAAUUUCAUGUGAAACAACACAUUUUAACUUUAACGGUUACCGCGUGAGCUAACACUGGGGCUCGACAGUCUCCAGUCUUCUGGCUUUGUUGCUUGUAGACGCAGAACAUGAGCUACGGAAGGCCGCCGCCGGACGUUGAGGGGAUGACCUCCCUGAAAGUGGACAACCUGACGUACCGGACUUCACCGGAGACUCUGCGACGAGUGUUCGAGAAGUACGGCCGCGUGGGAGAUGUUUAUAUCCCUCGGGACAGGUACACGAAGGAGAGCCGCGGGUUCGCCUUCGUGCGGUUCCUGGAUAAGCGCGACGCAGAGGACGCCAUGGACGCGAUGGACGGCGCGCUGCUGGACGGGCGGGAGCUGAGGGUGCAGAUGGCCCGGUACGGGAGACCACCGGACUCGAUGUACGGCCGGAGAGGGGCUCCGCCACGCAGAUAUGGAGGGUAUGGGCGCAGAAGUAGGAGCCGGUCAGGCAGCCCUCGCCGCAGGAGACGAAGCCGCAGCCGCUCCAGAAGUAGAAGCCGCUCCAGAUCCAGGAGCCGUCACCACUACAGCCGCUCCAGAUCCCGCUCCUACUCCAGGUCCCGCUCCAAGUCCAAAUCAAAGUCCAGAACCCCCAGGCGCAGCAAGUCUAAGUCUCCCUCCAGGUCUCGCUCUCGCUCCAGGUCCAAGUCAAGGAGUCGAACCCCGCCUUCCAACAGAGGGUCCAAAUCAAGGUCCAGAUCCAGGUCCAAAUCCAAGAGCAGGCCUAAGUCUCCAGAGGGCAACGGCGAAGAGCCCUAACCUAAACUUGGACACGACAUGACGCUGCUGAGUCCUGUUUGCAAAGAGAGGAGAAGGAGGAGGAGAUGGGGGUGUGGCAGUGUGAGAGCAGUUAGUAUGUGACCCGCCCAUGUGACCUGCCUGUUGCUGAGAGCGAUGGCAGUGUGCUAAGGAGCAGGUCGUCAUGGCGGUGGUUCGGGCUGUCAGUUGGUGUUUGAGGUGGUGUGGUGAGGUACGUUCUCGGGAAUCACAGGCAGAUGCGCUGAGCACUGUUCCCGCGCCUGUGGUUUCCCUCCGCCUCUCACAAAGGGAACGGACCCCCGAGAUCUCGGAUGAUUGAGCCUCACUGAGGACAUCGAGAAGAGUCUCACUGAGCGAGGGGACUCUACAGUUUCGACUGAAUGCAGACUGAAAGGUUAUUGAAGCUUGGUCUAAAAAUGUUUUAAAUGUUUCAUUUGAUAAUUUUUCUGAACAAAUUCUGUACGUUUUGCUGUGAUCAUUGUAAAGUUCAUUUUAUUGAAAGGGAUAUGUAAGGCAUUUUCUCUUUUUUUUUUUGCAUCUAAAUUACAUUUGUACAUGUUAAUGAAUCCUUUUUUGAUGAACAUAGAUUUUUCUUUCAUCAGAUCCUUUGUUCAGUAUGUUUUGUAGAUGGAGAUGAAAAGUUAUGUGCAGGAAGGGUCGUCAUGUUUGGACGUUUACAGCCUUUUAGUGCUAUGUUAAACCACUCACAUUUGAAGAAAUGGCUUGCUGUAUAGUAAAAACAUUACAGUAUUUCAGCUCCAAUCAAUUUGUGACUUUCUAAUCCAGCAGGAAAGCAUUCUCUCUAGUCACAUCACUUUUUUUUUCUGUCUGGUUAAAGUUGCUUUCCUAUGACUCUAACCCUCUUUCUUGUGUAUCUUUUGUGCACUAGGCGCAGUUGUGUAGCAGUUGAGUAAUGCUGGUUAGCUGUUAAGAUGCGGUGCAGUGCGGUGGUGACAUGGUGUGGCGUGUUGCGGUGCUGAGUGCCCGGCGCUGUACCGGGGCUCGACCCUCCGCUGCUGUUUGCCGGUUUGUAAGCUCAAAGGUGUGACAGAUCAACCAUCCUCUCCUGUCUUGUGACCUCUCCUUCCCUCUAUGUGCUGUACAGAUUCUCUCCUUCUCCUUUUUUCUCUAUGCUCCCUUCUCUCCUCUGUCCUUCCGUUGUGGUUAAUCCACUGUUCAUAACUGGUUUUGCUCUUUUCUUUUUUUUAAUGGGUCCAGUGUGGCUCCAGGUGACGGUUUAAAAGAGCAGUCCAGGCUGCCUGAUAAAUCAUUUGUGUAUUGCAUUCCUCUGUGAACCUCUCAACUGUCUUGUAAGUGCUUCAGGUGAAUGCAAAUAAACAUCUUUGUCUUAAGUCA